AUCUCUUGAAACCAAACACAUUCUAGUUUUUGACAAGAUAGAACCGCCUCCUGUUGACGUUUAGCUUCUAGCUAGCAUCUAUAACCCCCUGAUAAAGGUCAUAAAGUUGUGAUUUCUUGUGGUUUUACAAAAAUUGAAGCAUUAGCCCACUCCCAGUUAUUUAAGGGUGAACUUACAACUUUACUUGUUUCCUUUUUUUAUUUCUCGUCACUGACUGUGAACUGUUGCUCCGGUUGGGACUUUGUGAUCUCCAGUCGCACCUUCUUCGGGAACAUCGUAGCGCCUUACUCAGCCGCGAAUCAACACGUGCGUUCCUCCAACUCUAAAUCCGUCGCUGGUGUAAUUCUUCCUGCGCCACCCACUCCCCGACGCGGCGUCGACGGCUGCUCCUUUGCACUCCUGAUGACUCCCCAGAUGAAAUUUAGGAGGAUUUUGCCCAACCGAAGUAUCACAGAAAUAUAAAUAAAAAAUCAAAAAUGAAG